UGCCUAAACAUGCAAGUCGAACGAAGGCUUCGGCCUUAGUGGCGCACGGGUGCGUAACGCGUGGGAAUCUGCCCUUAGGUUCGGAAUAACAGCUGGAAACGGCUGCUAAUACCGGAUGAUAUCGCGAGAUCAAAGAUUUAUCGCCUGAGGAUGAGCCCGCGUUGGAUUAGGUAGUUGGUGGGGUAAAGGCCUACCAAGCCGACGAUCCAUAGCUGGUCUGAGAGGAUGAUCAGCCACACUGGGACUGAGACACGGCCCAGACUCCUACGGGAGGCAGCAGUGGGGAAUAUUGGACAAUGGGCGAAAGCCUGAUCCAGCAAUGCCGCGUGAGUGAUGAAGGCCCUAGGGUUGUAAAGCUCUUUUACCCGGGAAGAUAAUGACUGUACCGGGAGAAUAAGCCCCGGCUAACUCCGUGCCAGCAGCCGCGGUAAUACGGAGGGGGCUAGCGUUGUUCGGAAUUACUGGGCGUAAAGCGCACGUAGGCGGCUUUGUAAGUCAGAGGUGAAAGCCUGGAGCUCAACUCCAGAACUGCCUUUGAGACUGCAUCGCUUGAAUCCAGGAGAGGUCAGUGGAAUUCCGAGUGUAGAGGUGAAAUUCGUAGAUAUUCGGAAGAACACCAGUGGCGAAGGCGGCUGACUGGACUGGUAUUGACGCUGAGGUGCGAAAGCGU
rnacentral:rRNA from 1 species